rnacentral:rRNA from 1 species
UAAGACAGAGGUGCCAAGCGUUAGGCGGAAUCACUGGGCUUAAAGCGUGUGUAGGCGGACUUCUAAGUACCUUGUGAAAUCCCACGGCUCAACCGUGGAACUGCUUGGUAUACUGGUUGUCUUGAGCCACUUAGGGGCUACCGGAACAAAUGGUGGAGCGGUGAAAUGCGUAGAUAUCAUUUGGAACGCCAAUGGUGAAAACAGGUAGCUGGGAGUGUGCUGACGCUGAGACACGAAAGCCAGGGGAGCGAACGG